rnacentral:rRNA from 1 species
ACUGCAAUUAAAACUGCUCGACUAGAGUUUGAUAGAGGAAAGCGGAAUACAUAGUGUAGAGGUGAAAUUCGUAGAUAUUAUGUAGAACACCAGUUGCGAAGGCGGCUUUCUGGAUCAACACUGACGCUGAGGCGCGAAAGUAUGGGUAGCAAAGAGGAUUAGAUACCCUCGUAGUCCAUACCAUAAACGAUGAUUGCUAGAUGUUGGAAAUUUAUUUUCAGUAUCGCAGCUAACGCAUUAAGCACACCGCCUGGGGAGUACGACCGCAAGGUUAAAACUCAAAUGAAUUGACGGGGACCCGCACAAGCGGUGGAGCAUGUGGUUUAAUUCGAAGAUACGCGCAGAACCUUACCAACCCUUGACAUGUCUGUCGCGAGUUUAGGAAACUAGACUUUUCGGUUCGGCCGGACAGAACACAGGUGCUGCAUGGCUGUCGUCAGCUCGUGUCGUGAGAUGUUGGGUUAAGUCCCGCAACGAGCGCAACCCUUGCCAUUAAUUGCCAUCAUUUAGUUGGGCACUUUAAUGGGACUGCCGGUGACAAACCGGAGGAAGGUGGGGAUGACGUCAAGUCCUCAUGGCCCUUAUGGCCAGGGCUUCACACGUAAUACAAUGGUCGGUACAGAGGGAAGCCAACCCGCGAGGGGGAGCCAAUCUCAGAAAGCCGGUCGUAGUCCGGAUUGUUGUCUGCAACUCGACAGCAUGAAGUCGGAAUCGCUAGUAAUCGCGGAUCAGCAUGUCGCGGUGAAUACGUUCCCGGGCCUUGUACACACCGCCCGUCACACCAUGGGAGUGGGUUUUACCAGAAGUAGUUAGUCUAUCCGCAAGGGGGACGAUUACCACGGUAGGAUUCAUGACUGGGGUGAAGUCGUAACAAGGUAGCCGUAUCGGAAGGUGCGGCUG